rnacentral:lncRNA from 1 species
CUUGUUUUCCUUUCUGGUCUAUUGUUAUUAACUUGACUUUGGAGAUAAGAGGCUACUUUAGUCCCAUGAUUAUUCCCUGUUCAGUUGUCUUUGGUUGAGUGUGCUAAACACAGUUGAUAGCCAUCACCUAGAAUUUCUGCAGUGUAGACAUUGUUCAUUGGAAAUUGGAUGAUACCAUCAAAUCAACUUCCAAAGCAUCAGAAAGAAUUUAUCAGGCCCAAUCACACACUCAUUUAUGUGAACUUAUCUCCUGUUUCAGUGCUAACCGAAAAGAAAAUGGCUCCAUCAGUCUGGUCAAUACUAUAAUCCCCUGUAAGGAAAUACAACUUCAGAAAGAAAUCUGUAUAUUUAACAGGAAUACAGUGAGCAGCAGUCCUAUGUGCUGACAGCAAGAAGGAUGGGACAUCAUGAGAAACAAAGUGAGUGCUGUGAGUGCUCUUUUUGGAGAGUUAAAAACAGACACUGAAUCAUUAAAAAGAUUACAAAGUGGCAUUGAAUUAGUAAGCAGAAAGAAACAGUGUUUUGCUCAUGCACUUAUCAUGCCAUAA